UGGGGAAUCUUCCGCAAUGGACGAAAGUCUGACGGAGCAACGCCGCGUGAGUGAAGAAGGUCUUCGGAUUGUAAAACUCUGUCGUUUGGGACGAACGUAUUCUUUGUGAAUAAUGAAGAGUAAUGACGGUACCAAAGGAGGAAGCCACGGCUAACUACGUGCCAGCAGCCGCGGUAAUACGUAGGUGGCAAGCGUUGUCCGGAAUCAUUGGGCGUAAAGGGCGUGUAGGUGGAUAAGUAAGUCGUGUGUCUAAGUGCGGGGCUCAACCCCGUAUGGGCGCAGGAAACUGUUUAUCUUGAGUGCAGGAGAGGAAAGUGGAAUUCCCAGUGUAGCGGUGAAAUGCGUAGAUAUUGGGAGGAACACCAGUGGCGAAGGCGACUUUCUGGACUGUGUCUGACACUGAGGCGCGAAAGCCAGGGGAGCGAACGGGAUUAGAUACCCCGGUAGUCCUGGCCGUAAACGAUGGGUACUAGGUGUAGGAGGUAUCGACCCCUCCUGUGCCGGAGUUAACGCAAUAAGUACCCCGCCUGGGGAGUACGGCCGCAAGGUUGA
rnacentral:rRNA from 1 species